rnacentral:misc_RNA from 1 species
AAGUCGUAACAAGGUUUCUGUAGGUGAACCUGCAGAAGGAUCAUUAGUGAAGAUUCAAGGGCCAGCCAUACAGACGUACAAUAAGUGUGUCUCUGGCGGCUCGCAUCCACUAUACAUCCAUAAACCCGUGUGCACUGUUCUAAGGAGUAAGAAAGAAGGGAGGGAGAGUAGCAUGUGCUUUGCAUAUAACUCUCUCUCGCUCUCUUUCUCUCUCCGGUUAAUUACAAACUCGUAUGGAUUUGUAUGAACGUGAGACAUAUCGUUGGACCGUCACUGGCCAACAAAUAUAACACAACUUUCGACAACGGAUCUCUUGGUUCUCC